AUACGGAGGGUGCAAGCGUUGUUCGGAUUCACUGGGUAUAAAGGGUGCGCAGGCGGUCUGAUAAGUCAGAGGUGAAAUAUGUCGGCUCAACCGGCAAACGGCCCCUGAAACUGUCAGACUUGAGUCCGGGAGAGGUAGGUGGAAUUCCAGGUGUAGCGGUGAAAUGCGUAAAUAUCUGGAGGAACACCGGUGGCGAAGGCGGCCUACUGGCCCGGAACUGACGCUCAGGCACGAAAGCAUGGGGAGCGAACGGGAUUAGAAACCCCGGUAGUCC
rnacentral:rRNA from 1 species